GUGCGUUCUCCAUCCCAGUGCCUACACUCACCUCCAGCUCCGUGCACACCGGCUCCCGGGAGCAGCAGGAAAUGGUGCAGGCUUUCUCUACCCAGUCUGGGAUGAAACUCGAGUGGGCUCAGAAGUGCCUUCAGGACAAUGACUGGAACUACACCAGAGCUGGUCAGGUCUUCACUACGCUCAAGGCCGAGGGCAAGAUCCCAGAGGAGGCCUUCAAACAAAUCCCCUAAAAGGAGCCCUUGGAUGACGUCUUUGUCUACAUCCAUGUCAUCUUUGUUUCUCUCUUCUCCAGCCUCAGGCCACGCCCAUGGCUGGGGUUGGAGGCCUAGCCAACUAAGAAGCCAACGUUACCUUGUAGACCAGGUGACAUAACCACCUGAAGGGUCAGUUGUUCUGUGUAUUUUCCCACCCACAAUUGCUGUUUAAUUUCAUAAUAAAGAGUGAUGU